AAGAUACGACGCCACAAACGAGGUUGCUGAGCCAAUUUACCAAGAAGAAGAAGACUCCAACAAACCUUGUACUUUUGACCGGAGCAUUAUACUUUUGCACGUGGUACUAUAUUUUGGACUGAUCAGUCAGUCCACCUGUUUGCCAUUACUUGAGAGAUACCUCGUGGUAAAUAAUGCCUACAUAUGAUGAACUACAUAUAGUACAUAAGCUGAUACCCCUAGAGGAAAAUAAGCUCGGCUUGGUAGUAAUACCAUUGCAUGUCGGGCGUUAUGAAAAUGGUGACACCGCGAUAAAAGGUUUUUUCAGCAUCUCCCAUAAACGUAAAAUGCGCAUGGAGCGGCGAUUAUUUCGUAAGGAGCGCAUGGAUGUAUGGAAUGAAAAAGACCUUGGUCUGGCGCGGCUCUUAGACAUUCAGUCAUAUGAGCUGGAUCCUGAACCAGAAAAUUAGAAUUAAAGCUUGAUCACUCUCUGAGAGAAAAGUAUAAAAUAGAAUAGAACUUUAUUUCUUCAGUUUACAAUUGUCAAGAAUUAAGGAACUUGGUUUACACUAAAAUUCUUAACCACACUCAUCCUUCUAUACUGUGUAAAAAACCUAAGGGGCUCCGCACAAUAAAAGGAACAGGAACCAGAGAACAAAGAAUA